AGCGAACGCUGGCGGCAGGCCUAACACAUGCAAGUCGAACGAAGUCUUCGGACUUAGUGGCGGACGGGUGAGUAACACGUGGGAACGUACCUUUUGGUUCGGAAUAACUGAGGGAAACUUCAGCUAAUACCGGAUAAGCUCUUCGGAGGAAAGAUUUAUCGCCAUUAGAGCGGCCCGCGUUGGAUUAGGUAGUUGGUGUGGUAAAGGCGCACCAAGCCUACGAUCCAUAGCUGGUCUGAGAGGAUGAUCAGCCACACUGGGACUGAGAAACGGCCCAGACUCCUACGCGAAGCAGCAGGGAGGAGUCUUGCGGAGUGAUCGGAGAACUGACGCCGCCAUGCCGCGUGAAUGAUGAAGGUCUUAGGAUUGUAAAAUUCUUUUAGCAGGGACGAUAAUGACGGUACCUGCAGAAAAAGCCCCGGCUAACUGCGUGCCAGCGGCCGCCGUAA
rnacentral:rRNA from 1 species